CUCCAAUUCAGAUUGCGAAACGGUCGCUAGAGGGCAGUGUUUACAACCUGUAAAUCCGAGUAGGACCCGCGAGAGGACGGGCGGCAUGAGGUAUGCGUACAAUGACGCAGCCUGGGUUUUAAGUGACGUUUGGAUCCUGUUUUUGUUAUCUAUGGUAGAAUGAGUUCGGCUAAUGUACUGUUAUCAGAUAUUGUUUAUAUAGUCGAAAAGGCCUGUGAUGUGCUUUUGGUGGUCCUGUACAGAUUAUUUAGAGCUUUAGUAUGUGCUUAUCCUAAUCUAACUAGUUUACAAUGUUUUACAAUUUGCAAAAAAGCCACACAUUCUCACUAACCCUAAUAAUCGGAGAUGAGCGCAUCACCGCGGUUUGCUCUCUCAAAGGAAAAAUUACAAGGGACAGUCUCUAGCACAUUAAAGACCUUCGACUUUAAUUUUUUUUUUUAAAGUAUACCACAUCUGUUUUCUGUCACUUCCUGGAGGCUAUUGCUGUGUAAUCUAUUGCAUUAGCUCACAUUAGUGCAUAUUGCCCAAGGGUCUGAGAAUUCACAAAUCACUAAAUGAGCAUUCACUUGGCAACGCGCUCCGAUUCCCAGGCUCCGCAAACUUACAGCACAUACAGGGAAGGAUAAAAACUUCUUCCGAAGUAUCACAUGCAAAUUGAUGAUGGCGAUGAUGAUAUUAAUGACGAUGAACCCCUCCCCAGAUUCAUUAAGUUAGCUCUGGGGUUUCUUUUGUGGCAAAAUUUCAGCUUAAGCUUCUAAAAAUAUUUUUUCUUCAGAACAGCAUUUUUCCUGCUUUGUUUUAGCUGAGUGAACUAGCUACUAAUUGUGAGCCAGGGGAACGCGGAGCAGUUUUGAAGCCCUGAGCCCCUGACUGCCUCCUAGUUACAGCUUUGUGCAUGGAGCGGAUGGUUAGAUGAUACGACCAGUCCAGGUUAAUGACAGAAGUAUUCAAGCAUUAUGCAAACACGAAUGCGCGGCUUUAACUUAGCAAUGGGUCAGAAUAAGCGUCAUUCUGCCAGUUGCACUAUUGACGAGAGAAGGUCACCAUGACGACGCAAUAAUGACGCAUAGAUAAGAAUCUCCUCACGUGGCGAUAUUUGACCCAAAAAGGCAACGAGAGAAAGGCAUCGGAAGUGUUAUCAGAGCGCAGCUUCCAAACUGUUUGAUCCAAUCAUCAUUCAGAAUCUGGACUAUCUGUUUGCUGUCUGUGCAGAGUGCGUGGAAGUGGUAUCUGAAGUAGCUCAGUUUAUUUGUGGCUGAAGUCAGCUACGUGAUCAUUUUGUCUUGAAUUACAGCAAACAUUUCUGAAACCUCUCCUAGAUCUUGUACUAGAUAAUAAUGAUGGUUAGAUUGAUUACUGAACACUCCCUCUGGAGCAACGUUUAAGAAAAUAACCUAAGGUUACGAAGACGCUGUUAUUUUCCAUUUUUUGUGAAACAGAAAUGUAGUUAGGAGUCAUCGUAAUAAUAAAAACGGCAAGACGCUUCCAAAUAAAUUACCAUUAUUAAAAAUUCACACAAUCAGUUGAACAAUGAACUAAACCAUUGAUUCAUGAAAAUAAAACAAAUUCGAGAACACUACUUUCUAAAAGUUUCACACUUUAACAAAGGAAUCAUAUCUGUGCUAUUAUUUCAGAUAUUCACAAAUGUAAAUUAUGACUCUUGGCUAAUUAUGCAUUUUCCAGAAGGGGAUAAAGGCACACUGUGUUGUGUGUAUCUGCCUGCGAAUUUGCCCUUGCGUUUAAUGUAAUGUGAUUCCACAAACUUCAGACUGAUUCAAUGAACAGGUCAUAAAGGUCUAAUUAAUGAACCUGGAUCAAAAAGGGGAACAGAGCCUGAGUACCACUGGGCCAAAGUGAGCGAUUGACAAGUUACAGACAUCUAUGUUUAUAUCCUGGCAUGAAAAGCGCCACUUAUUACCUAAAAUAGUGUUAGGGCUAAAAUCCAUUCAUAAUUCAUCUUCAAACUGCUUCUCCGGGUCAGGUUGGCUGGGGGUGGGAUGGCUGAAGUCUACAGGGCGCAAGGUUGGGGGACACCAUAGAAAGGGUGACUAAAUAGUCAUUUAAACAUCAAAGCGUCAAUUUGGCUGUUGUGCUCUGCAGCGGCAAAGGUACUGACGCCCAUUUCUCUGUCUCAUUAUCACCCAUGCGCUUGGGUUUCCAUUCUAACAGCCUGUAUAUUUCGGUGCUCCGCUAUACAAUUAUGACCUGCGACUGGUGACUAAUGGCGGAUUCAUUGAAGUCUUUCAUUCUAAGAGUGUGAAAGUAAAGUGUCAGUAUGCAUUUACUCAUUUAUUGACUCACUCCAGUCAAUAACGCCGGCAUAUUUCCAUAACCGCCUCUGCUUAUUUUAUCCAGAGCUGGCAAGCAGAUUUUUGAAAAUGUCUCACCUUUAAGUUGCUUAAAAAUAUUUUGGAUGGCAAGUCUGUGGCUAUUAGUAUAAAAGGAGGUAGGUCUUGACAGUAGACUACACUUUAAUUAAUAAAAGUAAUAUCUAAGGCUGCACAAUCCCUUAAUCAUCCAUCCAUCCAUCCAUCCAUCCAUAUUGUAACUGCUUAUUAUAAUCUGGCUCAUUGGAGACCUGGAACUUAUCCCAGGUGGCAUAGUGUAUGAGGUGGUUCAGUGGGCAGUGUUGGUUAGGGGUGAGGACAUUGCAUAUUUACUCUCUUUCCUCACUCUGACCCUAGAAUGUGGUUAGAAUAUGGAUGGAUGGAUGGAUUGAUGGUUGGACAGAUGAGUGGAGUGCAUAGGCAUGCAUUUAUUCUAAUUGGAUUCUCAGAAUUGCCCGGAGUUAUGACUGUUUGUGUGUAGUUGUCCUACCGCGGACUGCCGUCCCUUAUGCCCAGCGGCUUAAAGCUUAGUUCACACUUCACUUUUCCGUGUGCAUUUUUGGUGAAGAAUGAAUCGGCCCUAACUAAUCUGCCAGGGUAUCCAUGCCUCUCCGACACUCCCGAACCCAGCCGUUCUUAACAAAUACGGAAACAACAUGAGUCAAGCUAACAUUAUACAUUAACACAUUUGACUAGUAAUGACACUGAAGUUAGUGCCAAGGUACAUGCGUAUCUCAGACUGGUAAAGGGAAAUGAAUAUGGUUAAUUAUUAGCUGGUUUUGGUGUUGGGUAGCUUAGCGGUUAGCACAGUCUCCGCAAACCUCCAGCGUUGUAUGUUCAAAUCCUGCCUCUGGCGGUGUGGAGUUUGCAGGUUCUGCCUGUGCUGCCUGUGCUGUGCGAGUGCUUGUGCCCUAUGAUGCAUAUUAUGUAUCCUAGUAGGUGCUUUGCUCACCGUGACUCUGUACUGCCCAAGCGGGUGGAAGAUGGAUGGAUGAUUUAUAUUGAAAAGAUGCCAAAUUCUUUUGACAGCAAUGUCAAAGACAAGAUGUUUUCUGGCGUUUGUAAGUAAAAAUACUUAAGUAAAUUUGACAAUGACAUUAUAAUGUUUGGUGGCAUUUAAAAAAAAUAUUUUUGCAUUUUCUCCAGAGAGCAGAUUGACAAAAGUCGUACAUCAAAACUGUGAUUUGCCAAUGUAGGACAUUUUUUAAAUUGUUAAUGUUUUCUAGCCCUACCCAGUGAAAAUGAACAAAUCUUGGGCAUUUCCCAAUGCAUGUAUUUAUUGAACAUUAAGCUGAUAGCAUGCAGAGCUUUCUCUUUAACGUUUGUAGCCUGGAAACAUUAUCUUUCUUAUAUAAGGGAUUUGUGGGAAUAAACAACAAACAUUUGUUGAAUAUCCAAAAAUACUUUUAUCUCAUGAUUCAGUUAGCCACCUAGCCAUUCAGAGUUCAGCUGACUGAAUCGUUUAGAGGUUGUCACCUUGGCAACGAGCACACAAACCAGUAAAACUGCAACGCCAAGACAGGAUGAACAUAAUUUGUUCAUCAUCAGCAUAAUGCAGUUAUUUCAUACCGUGGUGAAAUACAUACCUGUAAUUUUGUACAAGCAAUAUUACCAAUAAAAAAAACAACAUGACGAAUGUUACUGUGAGAUAUGAUGCUAAUCUAGACUUAAUCACCUCAAUUAAAAGCAUUUUUGAACAUUAACAUGCCUUGAACACUGUUCAGUGCCAAUAAUCUGUGCUCAGUACUACCCUGGAUAUCUGUCAUCAGUGGUUUAAACAGGGGCUGGACCACAGGGUUACUGGCCCCAACUGAAAUCUGAUUGGUCCCUGGAGUUCCCCCUCCCCUGUCAUUCACCAAUUCAAAACAUACGGUUGGCCCAUUUGACACCUUUGAAGCACUCCCACCUUUAAAAAAAAUCCUGGAAUUGCCCCUGUUUGUUACCAUGGUGAAAAUGUGCAAAAUCCAGUCAUGGCCAAAAAAGACCAAUGUUAGGAAUGGAAGUGAAAAGUUAUGAGGAAACAUUAGUUCAGAGUUCUGCGAACAAAAUGGCUGUAGACUUGUGUGCUUUGUUCUGCUUUUGGUCUUUUUGAUUCGAUGUUUUGGUAUUAAGGGUGUCCACAUGUUUAAAGAGAAGUUCGCUUCACAAUGUUUAAAUCACAUCUUAACAUUAUGUAAUGCUUGAGCUCUGUAUGUUUGUCAAUACUACUUUUCUUUUUUAUUCUCAAAUGAAAGUUUGAAGACUCAUUCUAUGGCUUUAUGUUAUCAUUGGAUAUCUGACAGUGUUAAUAAGAAUAAGCUCAGUCUUGUUUUUAAAGAUUAGAAAUUAAUUACCUGUGUCUUCAAUUCAUUUUUUGAAUCUAUUAAGCAUCUAAUAAUGUGACAGUGUCCAGCGAGUAUUUUGUCUGUGUGCGUUUUGAUGUUUUUCUCAAAUAACAUUAAUAUGGAAACUUAUUAAACUAUUUAUUGUUAGAA